UACGGGGGAUGCGAGCGUUAUCCGGAUUUAUUGGGUUUAAAGGGCGCGUAGGCGGGACGCCAAGUCAGCGGUAAAAGACUGCAGCUAAACUGUAGCACGCCGUUGAAACUGGCGCCCUCGAGACGAGACGAGGGAGGCGGAACAAGUGAAGUAGCGGUGAAAUGCUUAGAUAUCACUUGGAACCCCGAUAGCGAAGGCAGCUUCCCAGGCUCGAUCUGACGCUGAUGCGCGAAAGCGUGGGUAGCGAACAGG
rnacentral:rRNA from 1 species